rnacentral:rRNA from 1 species
UACAAGUUGAUUGUGGUCAACAUGAUGAUGAACAAGGAAAAUAGUUUGCUAACACCAAGGAUGCAAAAUAUUUUGCUAAGAAACAUGGUCUGAGCGCGCACAUGGUAUAUAAGAUGAACAAGGGAGGUUUUGAAGAGGAGAUGGAAGGAAUGGCAGGUUUAGAGGGUCAGCAGAUGGAAGACUGCGCCAAGAAACGAGGCCUACGAAACAAACAACGUCUGCGUGCGAGGUUGUCAUUGCUGGUGGCAAUCAUUGUCUGAGGAGCGCUUCGGUACACCCCCCCUCACAAAACGUAUAAAGGGGGGUGUACCGAAGCAGAAGUCGACGUGGGCUGUUGGUGCCUUGACUGGGUUAAUCUUGCUCAGGACAGGAACUGGAGUUUGCUUUGAGCAUCAGGUUAUGGGCGUGCCACACAAGUAGGGAUAUGGGGACUAGUCUACUGAAGUUGAUGAAGUGGUUGUAAUAAGUUUGGCCUGAAUGCACAUGAGUUUGUUCUCAUGAAUUCAGAUUUGAUGGCUUUUUGUUGUCCUGUAACAGAGUCCACCAUCACCAUGUAUGUUGUUGUAAAAGAAGCUGAACCUAAGUUCAUUUGGUGGCUUUCUGAUAAGUUCAUUUGGAGAGAGUAAAUACGGC